rnacentral:rRNA from 1 species
UAAUACGGAGGGUGCAAGCGUUGCUCGGAAUUAUUGGGCGUAAAGGGUAGGUAGGUGGUCUCAUUUGUCUGGGGUGAAAGCCUUGAGCUUAACUCAAGAAGUGCCCCAGAAACGGUGAGACUAGAGUCCUGGAGAGGGUCGUGGAAUUCCCGGUGUAGCGGUGAAAUGCGUAGAGAUCGGGAGGAACACCAGAGGCGAAGGCGGCGACCUGGACAGGUACUGACACUCAACUACGAAAGCGUGGGGAGCAAACAGGAUUAGAUACCCUGGUAGUCCACGCUGUAAACGAUGGGUACUAGGUUUGGUGGGUCUUGACCCCCGCCGAACCGGCGCUAACGCAAUAAGUACCCCGCCUGGGAAGUACGGUCGCAAGACUA